rnacentral:lncRNA from 1 species
CAUAGGUUCUGAGCUUUUCUUUCAGCUAGGUUACAGACUGGGUCCUCUACAAGUCGGCUAGUUCGCUGGGCCAGAAGAAAGGAACUGCGGACACCAUUCAGGAAGACUAUUAUCAGGUGGAAUCAAGUGUCUUUUUGCUGCUAUUGUUGCUAUCAUUAACAACUAUGUUUAUGGGUUGUGUGGUGGUAUGUGCCUCUUGUUCCACACUUGGGAAAUGGAAGGCAAGGAGAUUUUGAGUUCAUGGCCAGCCUGAGUUAUAUAAAAGCUAAGUCCCAAAUUAGAAAAGGAAAUUAAUAACAGAUUAAUACUUUAAUCAUUGAUAUAUACUUGACUGUGUCUACAUCUACAUGUGUGAGAGCGGGCAUGAACUUCCAGGAGGACUCACAAGUGGUUCAUGAUGCUGGGUAUGACUUAGGACAGAGACGAUGCCUCGGGAGGAAAACAAAUGAGAAGCCAAACCCUUGAAGAGGAAGGUGUGAAUGGAACCCAAUGUUCACUGGCAACAGCAGAGGAUCUGAGAAGCAGAUCCCAAUGCAGUGAGCAUUGACAAAUAAGCUGGAGAAGAGUGGGCCUUGUGGAAGAUGUGUAACGUAAAUUAAGCCUUGACAGGGGAAACCAGCCCAAAAGGAAGCUGUGGAAAUGCAGCUCUGGCUAUGCAAACCAGAGGAAGACUGCAAAGACAUGCAUGGCCUAGGAUCAUCCUGAAACCUCAUGAAGACUUAUUUUGGGGGCACAGGAGGCAGAUGUUCAUGAUACAUUGUUACAUGAAAGAAGUUGUGUAUACUAUAAGCACAUUUGGAUAAAAAUGUAUGUACUUAGCAAAGUGAAAAGACAAAUGAUGUCUAUCAAAGAGUAACAAUGGUUAUUUCUACAUAGUGCAUGAUUAUUGAUUUCACUUAAGUAUAACCCCCUUGUUUUUUUUUUUUUAUGUGUUCAUUUUCUACACUAAAGAUUAAUUUUGAAAAGGCGCUUAGGAGAUGAGGGAAUUACUGGCCCCAGAACCACCUGUACAUACUUCCCAAAGCAUUAUUCUGGCAAAGCCGAUGUUUCUGGUUCAGCCUCACGAAGGAUUUCAAAUAUGGUUUGAAGUUGACAGUUUAUUUAUUUAUACCAUUAACACAGUUGAUUGACUGCAGUGCUUCCCAACAAUGAAAAACUUGGUGGAUUAACCAUUAAAAUCUAGCCAAUCUUAUGAAAAAAGUCAAUUACACAUCUCUGCCAAUAUUUGGCACUGACGUUAGGUUUUGCAAUUUUUCUGAAUGUAGUCACCCUUAUUUAUUUACUUAUUUUUGCAAACAUUGCUCGUCCAUUUGUUGAUUGAUCAAGCAACUGGUUUGGCUGUUUGAGACAGGCAGCUUCUGCUGGCUUCAGAGUCUCUGUGUAGCCAAGAAUGACUUUGUACAGGAGCCUGGCCUGGAGGCCUCCACCUGCCACGUGUUGGGAUUACAGGGUGUGCUACCACAUCUGGCUGACUUGUCUUUUUAAAUAAAGAAAGUUUGUACCUCUG